GUUAUGAUUGAAUAUAAACUACUGAAUAGAGAUAUAAAAUUUAAAAAAUGCCACUGUGGGAAAUGCAUCUUAUAAACACACUCAAAAAAAUGAGUUCGCAUAUUUUUGUAUAAAACCAUUUUUAAUUGACGUUGCAACUUUUGGGUUAAUAACAUUUAGAAAUUAUCUCCUAUUUUAUAUGUUUGAUAAUGUAAGAUUAAACAAAGUACAAGCUAUGUUUUAGUUAUGGAAAUUUGUCUUCGUGUUAGUAGGUAAUUUUGUAUAAUUUUCAUUAGGAUGUACUCAAUUUGUUUUUUUUUUUCAUUUUAAAAACUUUUAGGGGAACUAUACCCUUUUUCAGCCUAUUUCUAUUACCGGUCUAUCAGCACUU